rnacentral:rRNA from 1 species
CCUUAGAUGUUCUGGGCCGCACGCGCGCUACACUGACGGAGCCAGCGAGUACUUCCUUGUCCGAAAGGUCCGGGUAAUCUUGUUAAACUCCGUCGUGCUGGGGAUAGAGCAUUGCAAUUAUUGCUCUUCAACGAGGAAUCCCUAGUAAGCGCAAGUCAUCAGCUUGCGUUGAUUACGUCCCUGCCCUUUGUACACACCGCCCGUCGCUACUACCGAUUGAAUGGCUCAGUGAGGCGUCCGGACUGGCCCAGAGAGGUGGGCAACUACCACUCAGGGCCGGAAAGUUCUCCAAACUCGGUCAUUUAGAGGAAGUAAAAGUCGUAACAAGGUCUCCGUUGGUGAACCAGCGGAGGGAUCAUUA